GUGGGGAAUAUUGGACAAUGGGGGCAACCCUGAUCCAGCCAUGCCGCGUGAGUGAUGAAGGCCUUCGGGUUGUAAAGCUCUUUUGGCGGGGACGAUGAUGACGGUACCCGCAGAAUAAGCCCCGGCUAACUUCGUGCCAGCAGCCGCGGUAAGACGAAGGGGGCUAGCGUUGUUCGGAAUUACUGGGCGUAAAGCGAGUGUAGGUGGUUGUCAUAGUCAGGUGUGAAAGCCUUGAGCUCAACUCAAGAAAUGCACUUGAUACUGGGCGACUAGAGGAACGGAGAGGAUAGUGGAAUUCCCAGUGUAGUGGUGAAAUACGUAGAGAUUGGGAAGAACACCAGUGGCGAAGGCGGCUAUCUGGACGGUUACUGACACUAAGACUCGAAAGCGUGGGGAGCAAACAGGAUUAGAUACCCGUGUAGUCC
rnacentral:rRNA from 1 species